rnacentral:rRNA from 1 species
AUGUAUUCAAUCAAACAGACAAUUUACAGAUCAAACUUCUUUUUAUUUUGGAAUUGUUGCAAAAUAGAGAGGCCAAGAAACUCUCUUGUUGAUCUCUCAGUUAAUCUUCCUCAAACAAAGAGGCAUAUAGUUUAUAAUUUGUUGUACAUGCUUCUCAAAUUGGUGUUGCUGCUACCAGUGUCGACCGCAAGUGUUGAAAGAGCAUUUUCUGCAAUGAGUUUGGUCAAGAGCAAGCCAAGAAAUAAGAUGGUUGAUAGUCUGUUGGAUGAUUAUCUAGUCACAUACAUUGAGCGAGAUGCUUUUUCCAAAGUGAUGAUGAUAUAA